UGAUAAUAGUAUAAAAAGUAUGUCUGUUUUCCAAACAGGCGGUUCCGUUAGGAUUGUCA
rnacentral:tRNA from 2 species